rnacentral:rRNA from 1 species
ACGAACGCUGGCGGCGUGCUUAACACAUGCAAGUCGAACGGAAAGGCCCCCUUGUGGGGUACUCGAGUGGCGAACGGGUGAGUAACACGUGAGUAACCUACCCUUGACUUUGGGAUAACUUCAGGAAACUGGGGCUAAUACCGGAUAGGAGCUCCUGCUGCAUGGUGGGGGUUGGAAAGUUUCGGCGGUUGGGGAUGGACUCGCGGCUUAUCAGCUUGUUGGUGGGGUAGUGGCUCACCAAGGCUUUGAUGGGUAGCCGGCCUGAGAGGGUGACCGGCCACAUUGGGACUGAGAUACGGCCCAGACUCCUACGGGAGGCAGCAGUGGGGAAUAUUGCACAAUGGGCGGAAGCCUGAUGCAGCAACGCCGCGUGCGGGAUGACGGCCUUCGGGUUGUAAACCGCUUUCGCCUGUGACGAAGCGUGAGUGACGGUAAUGGGUAAAGAAGCACCGGCUAACUACGUG